GACGAACGCUGGCGGCGUGCUUAACACAUGCAAGUCGAACGGAAAGGCCCUGCUUUUGUGGGGUGCUCGAGUGGCGAACGGGUGAGUAACACGUUAGUAACCUUCCCUUUACUUUGGGAUAACUUCAGGAAACUGGGGCUAAUACCGGAUAGGAGCUCCUGCUGCAUGGUGGGGGUUGGAAAGUUUCGGCGGUUGGGGAUGGACUCGCGGCUUAUCAGCUUGUUGGUGGGGUAGUGGCUUACCAAGGCUUUGACGGGUAGCCGGCCUGAGAGGGUGACCGGCCACAUUGGGACUGAGAUACGGCCCAGACUCCUACGGGAGGCAGCAGUGGGGAAUAUUGCACAAUGGGCGGAAGCCUGAUGCAGCAACGCCGCGUGCGGGAUGACGGCCUUCGGGUUGUAAACCGCUUUCGCCUGUGACGAAGAGUGAGUGACGGUAAUGGGUAAAGAAGCACCGGCUAACUACGUG
rnacentral:rRNA from 1 species